AUUUUUUUUUUUCAAAUGCUGCACCGAUGGCCCUAUUUCUUUUUUUUUCUUAGUCUACCACUAUUACACUCAAAAAUGUCAUUGUACAUAUGUUUUGUCAGUGUACAUAUGUUUUUUUGUCAUAUUCAG